rnacentral:tRNA from 1 species
GCGGGAGUAACUCAGUGGUAGAGUGCCACCUUGCCAAGGUGGACGUCGAGGGUUCAAAUCCCUUCUCCCGCUCUA